UGAUGGCAGAGAGGUCACACCCGUUCCCAUACCGAACACGGAAGUUAAGCUCUCUAGCGCCGAUGGUAGUUGGGACCUUGUCCCUGUGAGAGUAGGACGUCGCCAAGCU
rnacentral:rRNA from 1 species